rnacentral:tRNA from 1 species
CGGGGUAGAGCUCAGUGGUAGAGCGCAGGCUUAGUGUACACAGUGUCCUGGGUUCUAUCCCCAGUACCUCCG